UACGUAGGCAGCAAGCGUUGUUCGGAAUUACUGGGCGUAAAGAGUGUGUAGGCGGUGCCCUAAGUUUGGUGUGAAAUCUCCCGGCUCAACCGGGAGGGUGCGCCGAAAACUGGGAGGCUAGAGUGCGGGAUGGGAGAGUGGAAUUCCUGGUGUAGCGGUGAAAUGCGUAGAUAUCAGGAGGAACACCGGUGGUGCAGACGGCUCUCUGGACCGUAACUGACGCUGAGACACGAAAGCGUGGGUAGCAAACAGG
rnacentral:rRNA from 1 species